rnacentral:tRNA from 1 species
UGGGUUCGACUCUGAAAGCGGGGU